rnacentral:tRNA from 1 species
GGACCUUUAGCUUAGUUGGUUUUAGAGCAUACGACUGUUAAUCGUAAGGUCGUGGGUUCGAGUCCCACAGGGUCCUCCA